rnacentral:rRNA from 1 species
ACUAGCAGUAAGAGUUUGAUCCUGGCUCAGGACGAACGCUGGCGGCGUGCCUAACACAUGCAAGUCAAACGGGACCAGGGGCAACUCUGGUUCAGUGGCGGACGGGUGCGUAACACGUGAGGAACAUGACUUUCGGCGGGGGAUAGCCGGCCCAACGGCCGGGUAAUACCGCGUACGACCUCUCGGGGACAUCCCCGGUUGGUGAAAGCAGCAAUGCACCGAAAGAGUGCCUCGCGGCCUAUCAGCUAGUUGGUGGGGUAACGGCUCACCAAGGCGACGACGGGUAGCUGGUCUGAGAGGAUGGCCAGCCACAUUGGGACUGAGACACGGCCCAGACUCCUACGGGAGGCAGCAGUGGGGAAUAUUGGACAAUGGGGGAAACCCUGAUCCAGCCAUGCCGCGUGAAUGAAGAAGGCCUUAGGGUUGUAAAGUUCUUUUAGCGGGGAAGAUAAUGACGGUACCCGCAGAAAAAGCCCCGGCUAACUACGUGCCAGCCGCCGCGGUAAUUC